UACCAUGCUUCCAGGAAAAGUCUCUAAGCUUCAGUUACAUAGGAAUCGUACCCGAAACCGACACAGGUGGUCAGGUCGAGUAGACCAAAGCGCUUGAGAGAACUCUGCUGAAGGAACUAGGCAAAAUGGUACCGUAACUUCGGGAGAAGGUACGCUGCCGACGGUGAUAGGAUUUACUCCUUGAGCUAUUGGCAGCCACAGAAACCAGGCCCCUGCAACUGUUUAUUAAAAACAUAGCACUCUGCAAACACGAAAGUGGACGUAUAGGGUGUGACACCUGCCCGGUGCCGGAAGGUUAAUUGAUGGGGUUAGCGCAAGCGAAGCUCUUGAUCGAAGCCCCGGUAAACGGCGGCCGUAACAAUAACGGUCCUAAGGUAGCGAAAUUCCUUGUCGGGUAAGUUCCGACCUGCACGAAUGGCAUAAUGAUGGGGGCGCUGUCUCCAGCAGAGACUCAGUGAAAUCGAAUUCGCCGUGAAGAUGCGGUGUACCCGCGGCUAGACGGAAAGACCCCGUGAACCUUUACUGCAGCUUGACAUUGAACUUUGAUCUUACUUGUGUAGGAUAGGUGGGAGGCUUUGAAACCGAGACGCUAGUUUCGGUGGAGCCAAUCUUGAAAUACCACCCUGGUAAUAUUGAGGUUCUAACUCUGUCCCGUUAUCCGGGACGAGGACCAUGUCUGGUGGGUAGUUUGACUGGGGCGGUCUCCUCCUAAAGAGUAACGGAGGAGUACGAAGGUGCGCUCAGCGUGGUCGGAAAUCACGCGUAGAGUAUAAAGGCAAAAGCGCGCUUAACUGCGAGACCCACAAGUCGAGCAGGUACGAAAGUAGGUCUUAGUGAUCCGGUGGUUCUGUAUGGAAGGGCCAUCGCUCAACGGAUAAAAGGUACUCCGGGGAUAACAGGCUGAUACCGCCCAAGAGUUCAUAUCGACGGCGGUGUUUGGCACCUCGAUGUCGGCUCAUCACAUCCUGGGGCUGAAGUCGGUCCCAAGGGUAUGGCUGUUCGCCAUUUAAAGAGGUACGCGAGCUGGGUUUAGAACGUCGUGAGACAGUUCGGUCCCUAUCUGCCGUGGGCGUUGGAUGAUUGAAGGGAGUUGCUCCUAGUACGAGAGGACCGGAGUGAACGAACCGCUGGUGUUCGGGUUGUCAUGCCAAUGGCACUGCCCGGUAGCUAUGUUCGGAACGGAUAACCGCUGAAAGCAUCUAA
rnacentral:rRNA from 1 species